AUGGCUCACCAAGGCGACGACGGGUAGCCGGCCUGAGAGGGUGACCGGCCACACUGGGACUGAGACACGGCCCAGACUCCUACGGGAGGCAGCAGUGGGGAAUAUUGCACAAUGGGCGAAAGCCUGAUGCAGCAACGUCGCGUGAGGGAUGACGGCCUUCGGGUUGUAAACCUCUUUUAGUAGGGAAGAAGCGAAAGUGACGGUACCUGCAGAAAAAGCACCGGCUAACUACGUGCCAGCAGCCGCGGUAAUACGUAGGGUGCAAGCGUUGUCCGGAAUUAUUGGGCGUAAAGAGCUCGUAGGCGGUUUGUCGCGUCUGCUGUGAAAUCCGGAGGCUCAACCUCCGGCCUGCAGUGGGUACGGGCAGACUAGAGUGCGGUAGGGGAGAUUGGAAUUCCUGGUGUAGCGGUGGAAUGCGCAGAUAUCAGGAGGAACACCGAUGGCGAAGGCAGAUCUCUGGGCCGUAACUGACGCUGAGGAGCGAAAGCAUGGGGAGCGAACAGGAUUAGAUACCCUGGUAGUCCAUGCCGUAAACGUUGGGAACUAGAUGUAGGGGCCAUUCCACGGUUUCUGUGUCGCAGCUAACGCAUUAAGUUCCCCGCCUGGGGAGUACGGCCGCAAGGCUAAAACUCAAAGGAAUUGACGGGGGCCCGCACAAGCGGCGGAGCAUGCGGAUUAAUUCGAUGCAACGCGAAGAACCUUACCAAGGCUUGACAUAUACCGGAAAAGUGCAGAGAUGUACUCCCCGUAAGGUCGGUAUACAGGUGGUGCAUGGUUGUCGUCAGCUCGUGUCGUGAGAUGUUGGGUUAAGUCCCGCAACGAGCGCAACCCUCGUUCUAUGUUGCCAGCACGUUAUGGUGGGAACUCAUAGGAGACUGCCGGGGUCAACUCGGAGGAAGGUGGGGAUGACGUCAAAUCAUCAUGCCCCUUAUGUCUUGGGCUUCACGCAUGCUACAAUGGCCGGUACAAAGGGCUGCGAUACCGUAAGGUGGAGCGAAUCCCAAAAAGCCGGUCUCAGUUCGGAUUGAGGUCUGCAACUCGACCUCAUGAAGUCGGAGUCGCUAGUAAUCGCAGAUCAGCAACGCUGCGGUGAAUACGUUCCCGGGCCUUGUACACACCGCCCGUCAAGUCAUGAAAGUCGGUAACACCCGAAGCCAGUGGCCUAACCGUAAGGGAGGAGCUGUCGAAGGUGGGAUCGGUGAUUAGGACUAAGUCGUAACAAGGUA
rnacentral:rRNA from 1 species